AGGAGUGUAGCCAAGUGGUCAAAGGCAGGAGACUCAAGAUCUCCUCCCUUAGCGGGUUCGCCGGUUCGAAUCCGGUCACUCCUA
rnacentral:tRNA from 1 species